rnacentral:tRNA from 1 species
GGGGAUUUGGCUCAGUGGUAGAGCCUUGCCUAGGAAGCGCAAGGUCCUGGGUUCAAUCCCCAGCCCUG